UACGGAGGAUCCGGGCGUUAUCCGGAUUUAUUGGGUUUAAAGGGUGCGCAGGCGGGAGAUUAAGUCGGCGGUGAAAUUUUGCAGCUCAACUGUAAAAGUGCCUUCGAAACUGGUUUCCUUGAGUGUGGAUGAAGUAGGCGGAAUUUGUGGUGUAGCGGUGAAAUACAUAGAUAUCACGAGGAACUCCGAUUGCGCAGGCAGCUUACUAAACUACUACUGACGCUCAGGCACGAAGACGUGGGGAUCAAACAGGAUUAGAUACCCGCGUAGUCCCUGA
rnacentral:rRNA from 1 species